UCUAGAAGCUUCGGCAAUGGGGGAAACCCUGACCGAGCGACGCCGCGUGCAGGAUGAAGGUCUUCGGAUCGUAAACUGCUUUCGCUGGGGGAGAAAUGCCUGGAGGUGAAUAAUCUUCAGGUUAGACGGUACCCAGUAAAGAAGCCCCGGCUAAGUCCGUGCCAGCAGCCGCGGUAAUACGGGCGGGGCGAGCGUUGUUCGGAUUCAUUGGGUGUAAAGGGUGCGAAGGCGGUCGUCUAAGUCGAAGGUGAAAUGUCUACGGCUCAACCGAGGCAUUGCCUCCGAUACUGGACGACUUGAGUGCGGAAGGGGAGCGUGGAAUUCCUGGUGUAGCGGUGAAAUGCGUAGAUAUCAGGAGGAACACCGGUGGCGAAGGCGACGGCUCUGGUCCGCAACUGACGC
rnacentral:rRNA from 1 species